rnacentral:tRNA from 1 species
GGGGCUGUGGCUCUGUGAUAAAGUGUCUGCUUUGCAUUCAGAAGGUCCCUGGUUCAAACCCAAACAUCUCCU